CCAGACUCCUACGGGAGGCAGCAGUGGGGAAUAUUGCACAAUGGGGGAAACCCUGAUGCAGCGACGCCGCGUGAGCGAAGAAGUAUUUCGGUAUGUAAAGCUCUAUCAGCAGGGAAGAAAAUGACGGUACCUGAGUAAGAAGCCCCGGCUAACUACGUGCCAGCAGCCGCGGUAAUACGUAGGGGGCAAGCGUUAUCCGGAUUUACUGGGUGUAAAGGGAGCGUAGACGGCAGUGCAAGUCUGGAGUGAAAGGCGGGGGCUCAACCCCCGGACUGCUCUGGAAACUGGCGGGCUGGAGUGCCGGAGAGGUAAGCGGAAUUCCUAGUGUAGCGGUGAAAUGCGUAGAUAUUAGGAGGAACACCAGUGGCGAAGGCGGCUUACUGGACGGCAACUGACGCUGAGGCUCGAAAGCGUGGGGAGCAAACAGGAUUAGAUACCCUAGUAACC
rnacentral:rRNA from 1 species